rnacentral:lncRNA from 1 species
GCAUGUCUGUCCAUCCUUGAACAAAACUGAACUCAAUGCUGUCGUAUCUAGGCCAUAGCCAUCCUUAACCACAUCAUCGUACCCACAAGCUCCACCUGCAUGCAAUGUGAUCAGGUUUCAUUAAGAAGAUACUCGUAACAACUUUACGUACAUAGUAUUGGUACAUGCAUUUAUUUCAAUGAGUUUUUAUAUUAUAACACAUCUUUUAUUUUGAACAUGGUAAAAAAAUUUAGACUGAAUAGCUUUAGAUAUAAGUAAUGAAAUCAGGUAAGAAAUAUUGUACCAAAUGUUUUAGUGUCUCCAUCGUAGAAGGUUGCAAGAGCUUUCUUCCAUCCAGUAGGCUUAAAAAUUGGACGAUGAUGUCUGAGUUCACCUUUCUUGUUAUAUUUGUUAUUGCUUUUGCCAGCAGCAUGGACAUUAGGAAGUGAGAAUGCUACAAGAAAGACCAAUGUUGUGAUUAGGAUGGCUCCCGAGAGGAAAGCCAUGACAACUUUUCAGAUUUGGUUUCAGUUCUCUCCAAUAUAUGAGAUGAUUCUUUGAUGUUUUCCUAUAUUUUCUCACCUGUAUCUGUAUGUAUAUAUAGGAAAAUGUGUUUAGCAUGUGUAACAAUUUUAAUUGGCUGCCACUUUCGCGGAAUGUUACAGUAUGA